rnacentral:rRNA from 1 species
AGGACGAACGCUGGCGGCGUAGCUUAACACAUGCAAGUCGAACGGAACUCUUUGGAUCAAGGCUUCGGCCAAGUGAAUUUGAGUUUAGUGGCAGACGGGUGAGUAACACGUGGGUAACCUACCUUUAAGCUGGGGAUAACAGUUGGAAACGAUUGCUAAUACCGAAUAAGAUACUCGUAUUGAAAGAAGCCCUUAAAGCUUCACUUAAAGAUGGGCCUGCGGCGUAUUAACUAGUUGGUGAGGUAAUGGCUCACCAAGGUAACGAUGCGUAGCCGAACUGAGAGGUUGAACGGCCACACUGGGACUGAGACACGGCCCAGACUCCUACGGGAGACAGCAGUUAGGAAUAUUCGUCAAUGGGGGAAACCCUGAACGAGCAAUGCCGCGUGAGUGAUGAAGGCCCUAUGGGUUGUAAAACUCUGUUGUAUGGGAAGAACGGCUAUAUUAGGAAAUGAAUAUAGAGUGACGGUACCAUACCAGAAAGCUCCGGCUAACUACGUG